rnacentral:pre_miRNA from 1 species
GUGACAGAAGAGAGUGAGCACAGAUGGGCUUUCUUGCAUGAUAUUAGAUGGAGAUAUAGCAAAUACAAGGUUUCGUAUGCUUGAAGCCAUGUGUGCUCACUCUCUAUCUGUCAU